CCUUUUCUAGGGCCACUCCCUCAGCACAUGGAGGUUCCCAGUCUAGGGGUCUAAUCGAUGCUGUAGCCACUGGCCUAGGCCUCAGCCACCACAAUGUGGGACCUGAGCCUUGUCUGCAGCCCACGGCAACACCAGAUCCUUAACCCACUGAGUGAGGCCAGGGAUCAAACCCGCAACCUCAUGGUUCCUAGUCGGAUUCGUUAACCACUGAGCCACGACGGGAACUCCUGAAUUAGACACCUACUGCUUGAUGGAUGGGGAGAUGAUAAGGUCAUCCUGUAGAAGAGCUUGUGAGACAUGCAAUAUGUCUUUGGAAUGUGCCAUCUGCCAUUGUCUUUGGAAUGUGCCAUCUGCCAUAACCAGUUUGGACCUCAGUGUGAAGUUAGACAAAGUUGCCUCUCCACUCCUACAGACCUAGUCCCAUGACUCUCCUCCUGUUUGUUGCCUUUACCCUCAAAUUCUUCCACAACCCAGAUUCUACUUUUCUCUAACAUCCCUUACAGAACUUCACUAUUUUGAGUCCCACUUUCCUCCUGACCCCAUUAGAUAACUGGAGGCAGCACUUGGCAGUGGAAAGAGCGCUGAAUGAAAAGUCACCUCCCAAUGCUUCUACCAGUGAUCCAGGUUCUCCUAGGCAACUCACCACAACUGCAGUUUUCUCAUUUACAUGAUACAGGCAUGUGGGUUUGGGGGAUAAGAUAAAACCAUCUUCAACAUCAAUUCUAAUCAUUCCUAAAUCUAAUAUGAGUUCAGGAGUAAACGGAUAACCACAAAAGAUCGCUAUUUAACCCUGCUAAAAAUAUUUAGUUAGCAUCGUUCUUCAACAAUUUUGAGUAAAUACAGAAGAGAGGAGUUCAAAUGUCCUUUGGCAGCCACAAAUAGGUAAAAAGCUAGCAAAAAUAUGAAGAAUGCCACUGAAAUGACCACGAAUGGUUUGUUGCAAAUACAUAAUCUAAGGGAUGUAUUCUAAGUUCCUCCAGUAAUGUAAUAGUUCACUGAACAUUAGCAUGGUUGUGAAGGGGAGACUCUACUGGAAGCAGUGACCCAGGGGUGCAUGUUCUUUCCAUUUUGUGGUUAUACAGUAGUUAUACCAUCUGGACAUGUGACCAUGGAGGAAGACAGAAGAAUGGAGAGGGUGGGGACCACACAGGCAUAUUUAUGUGCAACUCAGAAGUAGAGCACAUCACUCCUUCCCACAUCUUAUUGGCCAGAUUGCUGUCACAGGGUCUGAACCAACCCGUGAGAGAGUCUGGGAAAUGUAGUCUUCCUUUGUGCCUAGAAAAAAAGAAAUGGAUUGGCAAACAUCUAACACAUGACAGGACCACUUACAAAGGAGAUGUACUUUGUUUCCACCUUACACCAUUUGCUGCUUGGGGCCAUUUAAAGAGCUAUUCAUUGUCCAACCAAUUGGAUUCCAUAACCCAGAUCUCUCUUUGGUGGUUGAAAUAGCCAGAACAUGGUGUAUAAAAGCACAUACACACAUUCUCUCUCUCUCUCUCAUUGCUAGCAGCAAAUGUGCUAACAGCAUAGUUGAUUUGGGUCUAUUAAUAAUGGAUCCUCAUAAUAAGCAUAGCUCUGUGUCAGACACCGGGCUGUGUGUUUUACUUUCGUGCAUUAUCUCAAUUGAUCUUCACAGAAUUGUGUGAGGCAGUCAUUCAUUAUUAUUCUCAUUUUACAGAUGAGGAAAUGAAACUCAAGUGAGAUAAUUUGCUCAAAGUCAUCCCAUGACAAAGUGGCAAGGUCGGGACCCAUAUCUGAGUCCAUCUGGUUAUCGAACCAGUGCUCUUAACUGCUAUGCUGUACUGACCUCCCAUGUGUAAAGACACUGCCAGAGUGAGGAGGAAGGAGAUCCCAUGGGGAAGGAACUUCAGGCUUUUCUCAUCUUAUAGGCACAGUAGUUCUAAGUGUGACUUUCUGACCCUCCCAAGAGUUUUGCAUACAUGACCUGGACGGAAGCUGCACACAGUCCAGCUUUAUGUUGCACCACAGGAUGACGUUCCCACUGCUCUGCUCUGUCUCAAAGCCCGCUCCAUUUUCCACCCUGGCACAGGGAAUGAUCCCAGUGUGGAGCUUGGCUAUAAAACUCAGCCUGCACCACACUUGCUCACACUUGAUAUAUUGCCAUAUGCUAUCUUAAAAUGCUUGUAUGUGCAGCUUAAUCUUUGCACCUACAGGGGAAACGAGACCAAAGCCGUGCCUUUCCCCCAGCACCUAGUGCUGUACAAGGCACAGCAGAGGUGUCCGAGAAACACAUGCUGAUAUAGAGUGAGCAGCCAUGACGUCACCUCUGUACCUCAGUUUCCUCCUUUAUAACAUUAAGGGUUUUGGCAGGAGAAUAUCUAAGGGCUCAACCAGCUCUAUGAUUCUACAUAUUGCUAGGCAUUCCUCUUCAAGGGCAUCCUGUUCAAAAACUUCAUAAAUUUUUCCUGCAAAGCCAAAGUCACUGAAUGGUCACAGGGCAAGGAUAGUCACAUAUUCACUAACUAACUAACCUUUCCAAACACAUGUGAUUAUAACUGAGUUUCCAUAAAGAAAAUUGCCUUUUAAAGUGACAGGAAGCCAUUAUUGUAAAAUGACUAAUAAUGCAGCAAAGAGCCGUAACGUGAUUCUUGCCCAAGUCAUUAAUCAAUUGAUGCAUUUUAACAAGGAGCUUCCUUAUGCAUUCGCUAGUCAUUUAUUCAAAUCAAGUAAAUAUUGUCCACAUUGUCCACUGAGAAAGAACAGGAUGAUUUAUUAAGGAAUUGAGAAGACCACAUUUCUUGGAGAAAUUUUACAAUGAAGGAUUCUUUCAAUAAAGUGUUUUCAAGGAGUCAGAUGGCCCUAUAGGCUAUGCAAUGUGUUUGCAUAUCUUGGAGCCUCAUCGAAUUCUGUCUAGCAGCCUAAUGCAGUGAGGUUUAAGGCUACUCCCCUUGCCUCCUGGAUCAGUUGCUCUCACACUUGAGGACAAUACCAUUCAAGAGGCAAUAGCUUGGUAACAAAGACCCUGAUAGCCAUUUGUACUUUUAAGUCAAUGGCUUGCCUCCCUUUCUGGUUUAUCAAAUACGUAGGUACUUUGCAAACCAAAAGCUUCGAACUUAGAUGGGUUUCGUUGGAACCUGGCAGCAUCUCCUAGCAGGAUUUGUCAGCUCUAUUCCACAGCUAUUAUCACUUCCACAAGGAGAGGACAGAGGCAAGAUAGUUCUAGGACCUGCAACCAAGGACUUUUUCCUGUUUAGAAGGAAAUGCUCAAAACAACCUCAAAUGUGAAGCUACUGGAAAACUAUAGAUGAUGAUCCACUUACCACUAACCAGGAUAUGAUAACAUUGAAGGUCAGAGCAGUCAAUAGGUGCCAAGUUAGGGCAAAAUUUAGACCAGAAUAUAUCUACCCAAUGGCAAAGUAUCUCGUAAAUUCAAAUAAUUUUUUUUAAAGCAUAUCCUUUAAAUUUAGGUAAGGAUAUAGAUAUAUAGAGAGUGAUUUUUUUUCCUUUCAUAUGGGCUGUUGAAACAUCCUAGAAACACUACCUGGGACUUUUCCCAGGAGUUUUGUGAUCUGAUUUUUGCCAACUGGCCUCAAACACAUCUGUACACACACUCAGAGACACGUACGCCAACACAGAGUUAGAAAGCUUCUUCACUUUUUAUUGUGACCCCCAGACACUUAGAGGAUUCCCUGCCCUCCAGAAAGAACAUUGCCAAGGCUUCUGCAAGUGUGGAAGAGUGUACUCCUUCCUUCUGAAGAAAUGAUGGAAUUAAAAGGGAGGCUCAAAAUCCGAAGCAAAAAAGGGAGGCUCUGCGUGGGCAACAUCUUAAGCCACCUCACCUUGCAUUCUUAUCAUAUAUAAGGGUCCAUUCGGAGCUGUAGCCACCAGCCUAUGCCACAGC
rnacentral:lncRNA from 1 species